GAUGAACGCUGGCGGCGUGCCUAAUACAUGCAAGUCGAGCGAACAGACGAGGAGCUUGCUCCUCUGACGUUAGCGGCGGACGGGUGAGUAACACGUGGAUAACCUACCUAUAAGACUGGGAUAACUUCGGGAAACCGGAGCUAAUACCGGAUAAUAUAUUGCACCGCAUGGUUCAAUAGUGAAAGACGGUUUUGCUGUCACUUAUAGAUGGAUCCGCGCCGCAUUAGCUAGUUGGUAAGGUAACGGCUUACCAAGGCAACGAUGGGUAGCCGACCUGAGAGGGGGAACGGCGACAAGGGGACUGAGGGACGGACCAGAAGGCUAUGGGAGGCAGUAGUGGGGAAUAUGGCGGAAUGGGCGGAAGCCUGUGGCAGAAACGUCGGGAGCGGGAUGACGGGUUUCGGGGGAAAAACAGAUGUGGACGGUAAUGAAGAGGGAGUGACGGUAAUGGGUAAAGAAGCACCGGCUAACUACGUG
rnacentral:rRNA from 1 species